CACUUGUGUGAUGUUAUUAUAGAUAGCUUGUACAGAUAUUACAGAUACCAGAGAGAUCAAAGCAAAGUGAUUGAUAUUAUUGCAAAAAGACUGUUACAAGAUUACGUCCGACGUUUGCAGGAAAUGCAAUUAAGAUGAAGUUAAUCUUCCUGCUGUUACUGUUAGUCAGCUCCGCUUUUUGUAUACCUUGGCUCGAUCUAUGGUUUCCUCAGCAAUCCUCGUAUGAUGUUCGCAAUACUGGAUAUUAUACAAACAGACCGUAUCGUCAAGGUAGAGGUGGGAAAGAGCGUUGGAAGCAAAUCUGCAGGACUAUAAAUCCGGACUCGUACGCAUUCCCAGGACGCGUGCCUUAUCCUGCCGCACCUGUCUGUCCCUGGUAAAGGGAACUUUCAAAUCGGACUCGCGAUUUGUCGUGCCAAAUGCAAGCGAAAAUCAUAGUGUGCGUUAAAAAUAUGAAUUUAUUGUAACAACGUAGCUUCAGACAGUAUACGUUCACCGGUUACGAGUAUUUCAGUCAUUAUGAUUGCGUGUACGUAUGUACAUGUCCGUGUGUGUGACGAUACUAGCAAACUAGUACAUAAAUAUUCGUGAUUACACGUAGCUACUUACUGUACGCAUUCAUCAUGUAAAGUACGAAGCGAGGGAAUAAUCGUUUGCAGCUUUUGUACACGAAUUCCAUUUCGCCUCGUUUCUCGAUCCGUUUACACUUGCGUUAAAUUUACACAGUCGAAAACAAGAACAGAAAACAUGCUACAAAACUUAGCGCACUGAAAGCAAUUUCGUAUCAGAGUAGAAAAAAAAAUUAAUAGGUAAAAAAAAAUAUAACAGAUUACUUUUUCGGACAUCCUGUAAGUCUUAAGAAUGUUCCAUCAUGGUGCAAAGUUACUUGACAUCAGUGCGAUUUUUCUCACCUUUCAGCAUUAAAUUUAUUGUGCGUAUAUGGAUUCGCUAAAUAUUCGCUAACUUAAAUAUAGUUACUUCAAAGGUUUAUCUGUUGAUCUAUGUAGUAUCAACAUUCUAAGCCCGUUAUAUCUGCCUAAUACAUCAAUAAUACUCUUUCUUUUUCUUUUCUUACGUAUAAAAAUAAAUUAUAUACAUCAUGUAUAUUACAUUAUAAGUUUACGUUCAAUUUUAAAAAAAAUGCACGCUUUUACAGCGCAAUCGUAAUCAUUGGUAAUAUUAAAUAUCAUGUAUAUUACAUGGUCUAUGUACAGUCCAGGAUCACAGAGUUAGUACGACACGGCUUUGUGUGUACGUUAUGUAUACGUUGAUGUUUGUAAUUUAAAAAGCGGUAAGUCAUUAACCACAUUGUCCAAGCAAAUUGAAUAAUAAAUAUAAUUUGAAUUGCAA